GAUGAACGCUAGCGGGAGGCUUAACACAUGCAAGUCGAGGGGCAUCACGAGGUAGCAAUACUUUGGUGGCGACCGGCGCACGGGUGAGUAACGCGUAUGUAACCUACCCUGUACAGGGGGAUAGCCCGGAGAAAUUCGGAUUAAUACCCCAUAAUGAUAUCUGGAGGCAUCUUUGGAUAUUUAAAGCUUCGGCGGUACGGGAUGGGCAUGCGUGACAUUAGCUAGUUGGUAAGGUAACGGCUUACCAAGGCUGCGAUGUCUAGGGGUCCUGAGAGGGUGAUCCCCCACACUGGUACUGAGACACGGACCAGACUCCUACGGGAGGCUG
rnacentral:rRNA from 1 species